AGUGGAUGGGGAGCAACCUAGUUGUGUGUGUGUAAAGGUAGUGCCAAGAAAAGCGAUGAUCAUGUUGAAAAUCAAUUCCCGGUACCCGAAACCGACACAGGUGGGCAAGUAGAGAAUACUAAGGGGCGCGAGGUAACUCUCUCCAAGGAACUCGGCAAAAUGACCCCGUAACUUAGGGAGAAGGGGUGCCACCGAGAGGUGGUCGCAGUGAAGAGGCCCAGGCGACUGUUUAGCAAAAACAUAGGUCUCUGCAAACUCGAAAGAGGAGGUAUAGGGGCUGACGCCUGCCCAGUGCCGGAAGGUUAAAGAAGUUGGUCAGUCUUAGGAUGAAGCUAGCGACUGAAGCCCCGGUGAACGGCGGCCGUAACUAUAACGGUCCUAAGGUAGCGAAAUUCCUUGUCGGGUAAGUUCCGACCCGCACGAAAGGCGUAACGAUCUGGGCGCUGUCUCGGAGAGAGGCUCGGCGAAAUAGGAUUGUCUGUGAAGAUACGGACUACCUGCAUUUGGACAGAAAGACCCUAUGAAGCUUUACUAUAGCUUGGAAUUGUGUUCGGGCUUCCUGUGCGCAGGAUAGGUGGGAGGCGUAGAAGGUAUUCUUGUGGGGAUACUGGAGCCAACGGUGAGAUACCACUCUCAGGAGGCUAGAAUUCUAACUUAAUUAAGGACAGUUUCAGGUGGGUAGUUUGACUGGGGCGGUCGCCUCCAAAAAGGUAACGGAGGCGUACAAAGGUUCCCUCAGACUGGUUGGAAAUCAGUCGAAGAGUGCAAAGGCAGAAGGGAGCUUGACUGCGAGAAGUACAGUUCGAGCAGGGUGGAAACACGGUCUUAGUGAUCCGACGGUGCUGUGUGGAAGGGCCGUCGCUCAACGGAUAAAAGUUACUCUAGGAUAACAGGCUGAUCCCCCCCAAGAGUUCACAUCGACGGGGAGGUUUGGCACCUCGAUGUCGGCUCAUCGCAACCUGGGGCGGAAGUACGUCCCAAGGGUUGGGCUGUUCGCCCAUUAAAGCGGUACGUGAGCUGGGUUCAGAACGUCGUGAGACAGUUCGGUCCAUAUCCGAUGUAGGCGUGAGAAUAUUGAGAGGAGCCUUCCUUAGUACGAGAGGACCGGGAAGGACGCACCGCUGGUGUACCUGUUAUGAUGCCAAUUGUAAACGCAGGGUAGCCAAGUGCGGAGAGGAUAACCGCUGAAAGCAUCUAAGUGGGAAGCCCACCUCAAGAUGAGUAUUCUGGUGUAAGGUCACGGGAAGACGACCCGUAAAUAGGCACGAGGUGGAAGUGCAGAGAUGUAUGAAGCCGAAGUGUACUAAUAGACCGUCGGCUC
rnacentral:rRNA from 1 species